rnacentral:rRNA from 1 species
ACGAACGCUGGCGGCGUGCUUAACACAUGCAAGUCGAACGGGCCUGUCUUCUUUUUUGGGGGUGGGUUGAGUGGCGAACGGGUGAGUAUCACGUGAGUAACCUGCCCUUCGGUCCUGGAUAACCGCUUGAAAGGGCGGCUAAUACGGGGUGGUCCGGUUGGUCCGCAUGGGCUGGUCGGGAUAGAUUCACUGUUUUUGGUGUUUCGGCGGGGGAUGGGCUCGCGGCCUAUCAGCUUGUUGGUGGGGUGAUGGCCUACCAAGGCGGUGACGGGUAGCCGGCAUGAGAGGGUGGGCGGCCACACUGGGACUGAGAUACGGCCCAGACUCCUGCGGGAGGCAGCAGUGGGGGGUAUUGCACAAUGGGCGGAAGCCUGAUGCAGCGACGUCGCGUGAGGGAUGGAGGCCUUCGGGUUGUGAACCUCUGUUUCCGGUGGUGAAGGCCCUGUCCGUGUGGUGGGGUUGACGGUAGCCGGGGAUGAAGCGCCGGCUAACUACGUG